rnacentral:tRNA from 1 species
UCCCUGGUGGUCUAGUGGUUAGGAUUCGGUGCUCUCACUGCCACAGCCAGGGUUGAAUUCCCAGUUAGGGAA